AUGGCGACUGGACAGAGGUUGAUGAAAGUGAUUCGAGUUUUUGAAUUUGGUGGACCAGAAGUGCUGAAACUCCAGUUGGAUAUUGCAGUACCAAUUCCAAAAGACCAUCAGGUUCUGAUCAAAGUCCACGCAUGUGGUGUAAACCCAGUGGAAACAUAUAUUUGUUCUGGUACUUACAGCAGAAAACCACUCUUACCCUAUACUCCUGGUUCAGGUGUGGCUGGCAUUUAAUAGAAGCCGUUGGAGAUAAUGUAUUCACUUUCAAGAAAGGUGACAGAGUUUUCACUACCAGCGCCAUCUCUGGGGGCUAGGCCAAGUAUGCUCUCGCAGCAGAUCACAGUGUUUACACACUGCCAGAAAAACUGGACUUUCAGCAAGGAGCUGCCAUCGGUAUUCCAUAUUUUACUGCCUAUCGAGCUCUGCUCCACAGUGCCCGUGUGAAAGCUGGAGAAAGUGUGCUGGUUCAUGGGGCUAGCGGAGGAGUUGGACUAGCAGCAUGCCAGAUUGCCAGAGCUUAUGGCUUAAAGGUUUUGGGCACAGCUGGUCCAGAGGAAGGACAAAACACUGUUUUGCAAAAUGGAGCCCAUGAAGUGUUCAAUCACAGAGAACUCAAUUGUAUUGAUAAGAUUAAAAAAAUCUGUUGGUGAAAAAGGAAUUGAUGUGAUCAUUGAAACGUUAGCUAAAGUAAAUCUUAGUAAUGAUUUGAAUCUUCUGAAAUAUGGAGGACAAGUAAUAGUUGUUGGCAGCAGAGGUCCUAUUGAAAUAAACCCAAGGGACACCACGGCAAAGGAAUCUAGUAUAAUUGGAGUUGCUUUCUAUUCAUCAACUAAGGAGGAAUUUAGGCAAUUUGCAGCGCCCUUCAAGCUGGAAUGGAAAUUGGUUGGUUGACACCUGUAAUACGUUCUCAGUACUCACUGGAGAAGGUGGCCCAGGCUCACGAAAAUAUCAUCCAUAACAGUGGGGCUAAUGGGAAAAUGAUUCUUCUCUUAGAAUGAUUAAUUCUUUCAUGUAUUUCCUAUGCAGUUAGAGAUUUCCUCUCCCAGUUUUACUUACACUACCUUUGCUCUAAUCAGCAUUCAUUUGAUUCAGUGAGUUUCUUAUAUUAAAAAACAAGAUUUGCCUUUAGAGCUCUGAGCAUUGGAGUAGAAUUUAUUUUAUAGCUCACAAUAUUCUUUAUGCCUCCCACCUACCUCUAAUCAAGGAGUCAUCAUAGUAGGAAAUAAAAUGUCAGUAGUCAUUUGGCAUUGGGUGCAUUACAGAAAUUCCUGGUACUUGAUCAUUAAUUCCAUACCUUUGACUAAAAGAAGCUAAUUCAAAAUAAGACUGUGUGAUUUCCAAGCCUACUUGUCCUUGUAAAGGUUCUUUAGUAUCUGAUUAGCUCAGAACUGUAUUGGACUCUGAAGAUUUUUUGGACAAAAUAAGACCCCUUUUCUAAGCUAAUCUCAUCUGGAUCUACAAGUCUCUUGCAAGGGCAAGAUAAACAAUGUCCAGAGAAAUUUGGUUUUUAACAAAUAGUUUUCCACUAUUUCCCCAAUAUUAGAACAUCCACUGUGUUGAUGGUUGAUUACUUAUUAUCCAUAUAUUCUUUUUUUUUAAUUGUACAUUUAGUGGCACCUUUUUUUAAAAUUUUAUUUUGUUAUGUUGUGUUAAUCACCAUACAUUACAUC